GAUGAACGCUAGCGGCAGGCCUAAUACAUGCAAGUCAAGGGGGCAGCAAUGUCACCGGCGGACGGGUGCGUAACGCGUACACAACAUACCUUUAAGCGGGGGAUAGCAUUGGGAAACUGGUGGUAAUACCCCAUAACAUUGCGAGGUGGCAUUACUUUGCAAUUAAAGUUACGGCGCUUAGAGAUUGGUGUGCGUCUGAUUAGCUAGUUGGCGGGGUAAAGGCCCACCAAGGCGACGANCAGUAACUGGUGUGAGAGCACGACCAGUCACACGGGCACUGAGACACGGGCCCGACUCCUACGGGAGGCAGCAGUAAGGAAUAUUGGUCAAUGGACGCAAGUCUGAACCAGCCAUGCCGCGUGAAGGAUGAA
rnacentral:rRNA from 1 species